rnacentral:rRNA from 1 species
UACGUAGGGUGCGAGCGUUAAUCGGAAUUACUGGGCGUAAAGCGUGCGCAGGCGGCUUUGCAAGACAGAUGUGAAAUCCCCGGGCUUAACCUGGGAACUGCAUUUGUGACUGCAUGGCUGGAGUGCGGCAGAGGGGGAUGGAAUUCCGCGUGUAGCAGUGAAAUGCGUAGAUAUGCGGAGGAACACCGAUGGCGAAGGCAAUCCCCUGGGCCUGCACUGACGCUCAUGCA